CACCAAGUGUUGGAUUGUUCACC
rnacentral:ncRNA from 2 species